UACGUAGGGUGCGAGCGUUUAAUCGGAAUUACUGGGCGUAAAGCGUGCGCAGGCGGUUCGUUAUGUCCGUUGUGAAAGCCCCGGGCUCAACCUGGGAAUGGCAAUGGAAACUGGCGGGCUAGAGUGUGGCAGAGGGGGGUAGAAUUCCACGUGUAGCAGUGAAGUGCGUAGAGAUGUGGAGGAACACCGAUGGCGAAGGCAGCCCCCUGGGUCAAGAUUGACGCUCAUGCACGAAAGCGUGGGGAGCAAACAGG
rnacentral:rRNA from 1 species